CGGGAAAUGGUGUAACGUUGCCAAUAAGGAAGGAACAGCACCUCUACAUAUACUAGCGGGCAAGCCUUCGGCUUUCAGAAGCGGGAGUCUUCUUGUUCAUGGAUUGUGCAAAACAAUCAUUUAUCACUGCAUAUUUGUUGAUGAGCACGACGUGGAACAAAAUGAUGAUCGCCCGACAAAUUGGAAUCCAAAAUUUCCUGAGAACUACAGAGCAUGCAUCGACUUCUUUCAAUUGUUUUGGAAUUUCGUUAGCUUCGUACUGCAAUUAGGACUCGCUAUCAGAAAUAAGGUCAGAGAGAGAGAUGAAGAGAGGCCCGAAAGACAGCCAGUACAUCCAGG